GAAACCUCAUCAGGGAAAUCGCAUUGAGAUACGCUAUCACAAAACUAAGCUUGCCAUCUAUAAGAUUCCACCAGGGACCCCACAAGGACACCUGAAACAGGAUUUCUUUCAGAGGAACAGGCGUGUGAAGGCAGAAAAGUCUUACAGCACUAAGCGAGAUCUCAUUAAACUCCACAGUCUGGAACCUGGAGAGUAUGUGAUCAUCCCAUCCACCUAUGAACCCAACAUCACUGCAGAUUUCGCUCUCGCUGUCUACACCAAGACUGAUUAAUAAGAUCAUGUAAAGAAUCUUUCACAUAAUGAAGGAUUAAUAUGAUUAACUCAGGAUAAUAAAAUACAUGAAUUAUUUACUUAACAAAAGACACCAUAGGGUAAUUUCCUAUUUGUUAGCCAGACAACAGGUGUGUUAUCUCUGCUGGCUGUGAAAUAUGGGUGGUGGGGUUCAAAAUGGUCACAUGAGUCAUACUGUCUCAUAUAAUUUUUUAUAUGAGACAUAUAAUUAAACAAACAAACAGAUAACAUAAAUACUGCACAGAUAACAUAAAUACUGAUAAAUAACAUGACUUUAUCCAUACCCAAAAGAAAUAAUAUGCUAAAUGAUUAAAAUAUACAAAGAUAAUGCUACUGAUAGUUGGCCAGGUUCAUCAAUUUCUAUAAAACAGAAUAAUGAUUAUGUAGAAGAAUAAGUUCUGUGAACACUGGAGUUUAGUUUGAAGAAGUGAUGUUGGGAUUCAGUGGAUAAGGUUCCUGCUUUAAUGUCCUGAUCUUCUGUGUGGACUUUGAGUGUUCUCCCCUUUUGAGGACUGAUUCCCACAUUCCAAAGACACGGAUCUUCACUGGUGACUCUAAACUGGCUUUCACAAAGAAUAAGAAAAUAAAACAGGAUGAUUUUUCAG